rnacentral:lncRNA from 1 species
UAUGGGAGAAUCCCUUGAGCCCAGGAGUUGGAGGCUGCAGUGAGCUAUGAUUGCACCAGUGCACUCCAGCUUGGGUGACAGAGCGAGACCCUGUCUCAAAAAAAAAAAAAGAUGAGGAAAUCGCCCGAGGAUGGAUCCGACUUGUGGUUUCAAUGGAGCCCUCAUUCUCUUCUUCACUUACCCUCUCCAUGAGGAGGAAGCCAGUACACGUCAAGCGUUUCAUUUGUAGCACAGACUCUUCUCCCAAACGUCUUUGCGUUCUGCACUGGUGAGGGCCAGUGGUGCCACACGAAUGGCCCAACUCACCUUGGGAACGUCCUUGGGCGCAUUUCUUUUUGUCUGUAGAAGUAAAAGAGUAGAACUCAAUGCCGAAGUCAGCAAGCUGUUGGAACCUUGGAAACACAGAGGGCAUGAAGGCUGAGUCCUGGGUCCUACAGUCAGAGGCCCACAUUCAAAUCUUGCC